rnacentral:rRNA from 1 species
AACGAACGCUGGCGGCAGGCUUAACACAUGCAAGUCGAGCGCGCAGUUUGCUGCGAGCGGCAGACGGGUGAGUAACGCGUGGGAAUCUACCCAGAACUACGGAAUAACAUGAAGAAAUUUGUGCUAAUACCGUAUACGCCCUUCGGGGGAAAGAUUUAUUGGUUUUGGAUGAGCCCGCGUUGGAUUAGCUAGUUGGUAGGGUAAUGGCCUACCAAGGCGACGAUCCAUAGCUGGUCUGAGAGGAUGAUCAGCCACACUGGGACUGAGACACGGCCCAGACUCCUACGGGAGGCAGCAGUGGGGAAUAUUGGACAAUGGGCGCAAGCCUGAUCCAGCCAUGCCGCGUGAGUGAUGAAGGCCUUAGGGUUGUAAAGCUCUUUCACCGGUGAAGAUAAUGACGGUAACCGGAGAAGAAGCCCCGGCUAACUUCGUGCCAGCCGCCGCCGUAA